rnacentral:rRNA from 1 species
CGUAUAUUAAAGUGUUGCAGUUAAAAAGCUCGUAGUUGGAUUUGUGGCGUGUCCUGUCGGAGCAUGAGCUCUGCUUGUGUGUCUGUACGGGUGUGCCUUUAAUGGGAUUGUUGGCCUUGUGGCAUUAGGUUGUCGCAUGGUUGAUGCCCAUCUUUUACUGUGAAAAAAUUAGAGUGUUCAAAGCAGGCUUAUGCCGUUGAAUAUGUUAGCAUGGAAUAAUGAUAUAGGACCUUGGUACUAUUUUGUUGGUUUGCGCACUAAGGUAAUGAUUAAUAGGGACAGUUGGGGG